UACGUAGGGGGCGAGCGUUGUCCGGAAUUAUUGGGCGUAAAGAGCGUGUAGGCGGUUCGGUAAGUCUGCCGUGAAAUCCUGGGGCUCAACCCCGGGCGUGCGGUGGAUACUGCCGGGCUAGAGGGUGGUAGAGGCGAGUGGAAUUCCCGGUGUAGCGGUGAAAUGCGCAGAUAUCGGGAGGAACACCAAUUGCGAAGGCAGCUCGCUGGGACGUUACUGACGCUGAGACGCGAAAGCGUGGGGAGCAAACAGG
rnacentral:rRNA from 1 species